UUCCCCUAUGAUGAAUUUUUCAAUUAAAAUGUUAAAAGUAGUGGACUGAAUGAUAUGCAUUUUGCGGAUAAAUAUGAAAUUCUGAGGGGUU
rnacentral:snoRNA from 1 species